rnacentral:rRNA from 1 species
UACGAAGGGGGCUAGCGUUGUUCGGAACUACUGGGCGUAAAGCGCACGUAGGCGGAUCGAUCAGUCAGGGGUGAAAUCCCAGGGCUCAACCCUGGAACUGCCUUUGAUACUGUCGAUCUGGAGUAUGGAAGAGGUGAGUGGAAUUCCGAGUGUAGAGGUGAAAUUCGUAGAUAUUCGGAAGAACACCAGUGGCGAAGGCGGCUCACUGGACUGGUAUUGACGCUGAGGUGCGAAAGCGUGGGGAGCAAACAGG